CUCCUAGGCAGAUUGCCUACCACGGCUGACGACCUCCACCUGGCCGGGUUUAUUGUUCGGAGUUUGCUCUCCUAGGCAGAUUGCCUACCACGGCUGACGACCUCCACCUGGCCGGGUUUAUUGUUCGGAGUUUGCUCUCCUAGGUGAACUGCUCACGCUAACGAGCUCCACCUGCCCGGGUUUUUUGCUCGGAGUUUGCUCUCCUAGGUGAACUGCUCACGCUAACGAGCUCCACCUGCCCGGGUUUGUUGUUCGGAGUUUGCUCUCCUAGGUGAAUUGCCUACCACGGCUAACGACCUCCACCUGCCCGGGUUUGUUGUUCGGAGUUUGCUCUCCUAGGUGAACUGCCUACCACGGCUAACGAGCCCCACCUGCCCGGGUUUGUUUAGAGUUUGCUCUCCUAGGUGAACUGCCUACCACGGCUAACGACCUCCACCUGCCCGGGUUUGUUUAGAGUUUGCUCUCCUAGGUGAAUUGCCUACCACGGCUAACGACCUCCACCUGCCCGGGUUUGUUUAGAGUUUGCUCUCCUAGGUGAAUUGCCUACCACGGCUAACGACCUCCACCUGCCCGGGUUUGUUUAGAGUUUGCUCUCCUAGGUGAAUUGCCUCCCACGGCUAACGACCUCCACCUGCCCGGGUUUAUUGUUCGGAGUUUGCUCUCCUAGGUGAAUUGCCUCCCACGGCUAACGACCUCCACCUGCCCGGGUUUGUUUAGAGUUUGCUCUCCUAGGUGAAUUGCCUCCCACGGCUAACGACCUCCACCUGCCCGGGUUUGUUUAGAGUUUGCUCUCCUAGGUGAAUUGCCUCCCACGGCUAACGACCUCCACCUGCCCGGGUUUGUAUAGAGUUUGCUCUCCUAGGUGAAUUGCCUCCCACGGCUAACGAGCCUCACCUGCCCGGGUUUGUUUAGAGUUUGCUCUCCUAGGCAGAUUGCCUACCAUGGCUAACGAG